AAUAGAUACCCGGGUAGUCCACGCCGUAAACGAUGAGUGCUAAGUGUUAGAGGGUUUCCGCCCUUUAGUGCUGCAGCUAACGCAUUAAGCACUCCGCCUGGGGAGUACGGCCGCAAGGCUGAAACUCAAAGGAAUUGACGGGGGCCCGCACAAGCGGUGGAGCAUGUGGUUUAAUUCGAAGCAACGCGAAGAACCUUACCAGGUCUUGACAUCCUCUGCCACUCCUAGAGAUAGGACGUUCCCCUUCGGGGGACAGAGUGACAGGUGGUGCAUGGUUGUCGUCAGCUCGUGUCGUGAGAUGUUGGGUUAAGUCCCGCAACGAGCGCAACCCUUGUUCUUAGUUGCCAGCAUUCAGUUGGGCACUCUAAGGAGACUGCCGGUGACAAACCGGAGGAAGGUGGGGAUGACGUCAAAUCAUCAUGCCCCUUAUGACCUGGGCUACACACGUGCUACAAUGGAUGGUACAAAGGGCCGCGAAACCGCGAGGUUAAGCCAAUCCCAUAAAACCAUUCUCAGUUCGGAUUGUAGG
rnacentral:rRNA from 1 species